CAACAACGACAACGGCGGUCGGUUUGCGGCCAACUGGUACUCGUCCAUGCUGGGCAAAAAGACCUCGCUG
rnacentral:snRNA from 1 species